AGUGAACGCUGGCGGCGUGCUUAACACAUGCAAGUCGAACGAGAACGGAAUAUAGCUUGCUAUAUUUGUCAGCUAAGUGGCGCACGGGUGAGUAAUGUAUAGAUAACCUGCCCUUAAGAAAGGAAUAGCAGUUGGAAACGACUGCUAAUGCCCUAUAUGCCUUUAAUACAUAAGUAUGCAAGGGAAACGCUUUAGUGCUUAAGGAUGGGUCUGUAUGGUAUCAGCUUGUUGGUGAGGUAAUGGCUCACCAAGGCUAUGACGCCUAACUGGUUUGAGAGGAUGAUCAGUCACACUGGAACUGCGACACGGUCCAGACUCCUACGGGAGGCAGCAGUGGGGAAUAUUGCACAAUGGACGAAAGUCUGAUGCAGCAACGCCGCGUGGAGGAUGACACAUUUCGGUGCGUAAACUCCUUUUAUAUAGGAAGAUAAUGACGGUACUAUAUGAAUAAGCACCGGCUGACUCCGUGCCAGCCGCCGCGGUAA
rnacentral:rRNA from 1 species